rnacentral:rRNA from 1 species
GAUGAACGCUGGCGGCGUGCUUAACACAUGCAAGUCGAACGGAAAGGCCCAAGCUUGCUUGGGUACUCGAGUGGCGAACGGGUGAGUAACACGUGGGUGAUCUGCCCUGCACUUCGGGAUAAGCCUGGGAAACUGGGUCUAAUACCGGAUAGGACCACAUUUUGGAUGGUGUGGUGGAAAGUUUUUCGGUGUGGGAUGAGCUCGCGGCCUAUCAGCUUGUUGGUGGGGUAAUGGCCUACCAAGGCGUCGACGGGUAGCCGGCCUGGGAGAGUGUACGGCCACAUUGGGACUGAGAUACGGCCCAGACUCCUACGGGAGGCAGCAGUGGGGAAGAUUGCACAAUGGGCGCAAGCCUGAUGCAGCGACGCCGCGUGGGGGAUGACGGCCUUCGGGUUGGAAACUCCUUUCGCUAGGGACGAAGCGUUAUGUGACGGUACCUGGAGAAGAAGCACCGGCUAACUACGUG